AUCACUAAGCGGAGGAAAAGAAACUAACAAGGAUUCCCCUAGUAGCGGCGAGCGAACCGGGAGAAGCCCAGCUUGAAAAUCGCGUCGUUUCGGCGACGAGUUGUAGUCUGGAGAAGUGUCCUCUGCGGCGGACCCGGCUUAAGUCCCCUGGAAAGGGGCGUCAGAGAGGGUGAGAACCCCGUCGGGCCGGGACCCUGCCGCUCCACGAGGCGCUAUCGACGAGUCGGGCUGUUUGGGAAUGCAGCCCUAAGCGGGAGGUAAAUUCCUUCCAAGGCUAAAUACAGGCGGGAGACCGAUAGCGAACAAGUACCGCGAGGGAAAGAUGAAAAGGACUUUGAAAAGAGAGUUAAAAAGUGCUUGAAAUUGCUGGGAGGGAAGCGAAUGGAGGCCUCGUGUGCGCCCCGGUCGGAUGCGGAACGGCGAGAGCUGGUCCGGCCUCGACGCGGGGCGCUGGUCGGCGUGGGCUUCCCCGGCGGGACAAAAGUCGGCCUUUUGUGGCCGGCCGAUGCCGUCGAGGAGGCCGAGGAAAACUGAAGUGCGCGCCUCGGGCGGGCUCCCUCGGGAGUACCUGCGCACUCGGGACGCCGGCGUAGUGGGCUU
rnacentral:rRNA from 1 species